CCAUGAUUCUCUAUGGAUUUGAUGUGGGAGAACGCUUAACCCAGGGGCUGCCCUAUGUGUAUCCUCUUGGACCUAUAGUGGCUGAAUGUCCUUUUUGAGAUCCUGCAGCUGUUGACCCUGAGUGGGAGAAUGCCUUAUCCAGGUGUAGUCUUGUGCACACCUUUCCAGACCCAUAGCAGUGGUUUGGUUGCAGAGCUGUGAUUAUAUGG